rnacentral:lncRNA from 1 species
GUCCUUUAUAGUCAAUUUUUAACAAUUUUCAUAAAAUUUGUAAAUUUUCAUUAACAUUUUCCACUGAAACUACUGGGCCAAGUUCAUUAUAGAUAGAUAUAAUUGUAAGCAGCAAGACUGUUUAGUAAAGUAAGAUGUACAAACACAUCACUAUCACCAAAACACAAUUUUGUCAUGAAUCCAUCUGCUUCCUUUGUUUAAUAUUCACAUAGACCAAGGUGAGCGACACAGGCUCUUUAAAGCCUCUAGCUUUAAUAUAAAUGUUAGAUUCAUUGUUCUUUAGUUCAUGUAUUUUUCAUUUAAUUUUUGUACUUAAACAUCAACUUAUUCUUCUAUAUUUCAUAUAUUUUCUUUCAACUGUUGUAUUAUAUGGUAAGUGUCAGGAGUGCAACAAAAUCAGAAAAACAGGGUGUUCAUGUACCAAUUUUUUUUUUAAUUUUUUGGUAUUUGAAUAAAUGU